rnacentral:tRNA from 1 species
GCGGGAAUAGCUCAGUUGGUAGAGCGUCUGCUUGCCAUGCAGAAGGUCGNNCCCGCUAAUGAUAUCCCCCCCCU